rnacentral:lncRNA from 1 species
AACAGUUUCUUUUCUCCAAUUCUCCUUUCUCACUACGCUACCUUCAUACACGCUCUCUCUAUCUCUCCAAUCAAUUCAGUGUUGCCAAAAUUAUGAAUCCGUUUCUAUUUCAAAUGAAAAAACCCUAAAUGUUAAGAAUCAUCUACAUUCGUGAAAGUAACUCACCGGAUUUCUCUCUGCCGAUCUAGGGUUUAACAGUGAUUCCAGGGUUUUUUUUCAUUCAACUAUAUACAUCAUAUUCUCAGUCAAUCAAGGUAUGUGUUUUUGUUGUUUGUGGAUUGAAUGCAUUUACGUGAAGGGAUCAAAAUUAAGAGGAUAUGAAGAAGAAGCAGGCGCAAUCAGUAGCGGCUAGCCCACAACCAUCGUAGUGGGUAGACAACCAACCUAAAAAUAUCAAAUUGAACAACAAAUCGGUAUCGGGAUCUGCCGUCAGGUGACCUUUAAUUUGAUUUUAAUUUAUCUAAUCGUUUUUUUCUUGAUUUGAUUCCAUUUAGUAAUUGAAAAUCAGCGAUUCGUUUGAAAAAAAAAAUAGGUUUUAGGUUAAAUUUACAUGUAAUAUAUUUUAGUAGUUUUGGGGCUGAUUUAAAUAUGAAUUAAAAAAGCAUAUUUGAUCCGCCAGAUUUAUGUUCUUACUUAUUGACUAAAAACAUCAAUGGAUAAUUGAUGGUGGUGAAACGAACAGUUUCACCAUAUUUAUGUUCUUAAUUCUUAUUUGUUUAGAAGAGCUUAUUACAGAAAAAAUGUCUUUUAUGAGUUAGGCAUGACAAAAGGGUUGAAGAGAGUUGUUCAUUCAAGUUCUUAAUUAAUGGAUACUAAUUCAUGAAUUGCAGGUGUUGACUAUUAUACCAUCAUAUCGAAUCGAGUGCAUUACAAUGGAGGGAAGUUGAUUUGAGAUUGUUCCGGUCGAUGUGGUAUACGAAACUUUGAAAUGUACAAAAGGGGGAUUGACGACUGAAGAAGGGAGCAGGAGGCUUGCUGCUUUUGGCCCUAACAAGCUAGAGAGAAGCAUGAAAGUAAGCUUCUUAAGUUCUUAGGGUUCAUGUGGAAUAUAUUGUCAUGGGUCAUGGAAGCCUCUGCAAUCAUGUCUAUCGUCUUGGCCAGUGGAGGGGUUUCUUGAUCUUGGAUCUGUUAUAUUUCUGAUAAUCAAAUGUCGUCUACACCAAGAUCUAAAAAAAAUGGGGUGACCGGAGAAGACGAUGGUCAAAAGGGUUCGUCCAGAUUUGAUUUUCUACGGCGGUUUAGCGUUCGAUUCACCUGAUGACGGAGAACGUUGGUCCUGUGACGGCUAGGGUUCUGCUGCGGACCCGAUAAUGGUGAUGAUCAGAGGUUAUCGGGCGGCUUAAGGCCCACAACCUUGGCGGUGCAAGCGUUCAGCAGCUGCACCAACUAGAGAAACAACUAACUGAUGGCUUAGUUUUAAUCAAAGAAAAGAAGGAUGCUAUGCUGUUUGAGGAGAUUGAACAUUCAAAUCGCAAAGGAACGAGAACUUGCUUAUGAAACCGAUGUACUUCAAGGAGAGAUGGAAAACUUAAAGCGCUUCGUACCGUUGACUCGACAACCUGGUCAACUUGGUUUCCUAGAAUACACUCCUGCUGUUGUUCCAAGUAGCGGUGCUGCCCACUCGAAGCAUGACCGGGUUAGGCCGGAUACCGUAUGCUACUAUGGAUCCGAUAACACCGAUUCAGAAACAGCACUUCAGUUUAGUUAUGCAAAACUGGAAGUGGGUCAAAACUGGCUGCCUUACGGUGACCAUUCGAGAAAGGAGGCAACAGUGUUGCCAAAGAGGGAUACCAAUUCAAGUAGUUGUGAAGUGAUGAGAUGGAACAAUGAUCAUUGGACGUUUUGGGGAUUGAUGGAUUCAUGUUGGAAGCUUUGUCAAGAGCAGGAUUUCUUUCAUUAUCAUUCUGACAUUCAUUUUUGAACCAUAUGAACCAUGUUUGAACAAGGGGAGGACGGUAUUUGUUCCACAUGUUACCUACCAUGAUGCCAUUAAAGGUUUCAAGAAGGUUGGUGUUAUUGGAUUGGGUCCCAGAUUUAUAAUUUCAUUGCUUAAAUUCAUUAGUUUUUGUUUUUCUAUUUAGAUAGUAGACUGAUUUAGUUGAUAACUAAAAACGUUAUGAUCAACUCUUUUCUACCAAUAUAGUGUAUUGGUACAGACACGAUCUGGUUAGAGAUGUGUUGUUUGACGUUCUCAAGCGAGCUGGUAUCGCUGCUAAAAAAGAGGCUCCGGUUAAUUUCCUAACGGACCCGAAGGAGGGGAGGUCUUCCCUUCGACCAGCCGAUGUGCUGGUUUUUGGAUGGUCCGGGGGUAAGCAUGCUUGCAUUGAUCUCACGGGGGUGUCGCCUCUUGCCGGUUUCAGGGGCAGUGGUUUUGUUUCAGGGCAAGCGGCGCAGAAGGCUGAGGCGGGGAAAAUAUCCAAGCACGAGCAGGCCUGCAUAGAUAAUCAACAUGCCUUCCUUCCUUUCGCGUUCGAUACCUUUGGUUGUCUGGCCCCUGUGGCGUCCGGAUUCUUGAAGCGGUUCAAAAGGCAGCACUUGCACAUGCGACAGUGUCUGUAGGCCAUAGUUAUGUGUUUAGCCGAGUAGGAUUUGCAAUUCAAAAGGGGGUGGCGGCGCAGCUUGUUGC